UUCACAAACGUUUGCUCUGGUAAUUGAUUUCAGUUAAUUUUCAAAUUUCCGAUCGAUUUUCUUAGUUUUUUCUCGACUUCUCGCCGGAAUUGAGUGUGUUUGCUCCCAAUUCUAUGAUUAGAAGUAAAUUUCAAGUGAAAAUUGCUUCAGAAGUGACUAAAUCGAAGUUCUAAUGGAGCGAUGAGAUUUAUGUGCAAUGAUUGCUCAGGGAAUCAAUGCGGGAGAUGUUGAAGAUUCAGGACACAAGGAUCUACAUCUGGCAACUGCACCAAGAAGGUACGGUAGAAAUGAAUUACGAGCUCUUGCCAUUAAUCUUCUAUGUCCAGUUUUCUAUUUCUGUGUACUUGUGGACUGCUUUAUACAAAUUUGAGUUAUAUAUAUGAGAUAUUUCAUUGUAGAUUUCCUUACUAUAAACAAGAACAGUCAAAUCGAAGAGUGGUUAUUUAAGGUUUAAGGAGGGAUUUUAAAUUAGAUCAAAGGAGUUGAAUGCAAUAUAUACACUUAAAAUUUAAGGAGGGAUUUUAAAUUAGAUCAAAUGGUGGAGCCAUCAGAGGGUCCAGUCCAAGCUGAUGAUCAUGCAGGAAGCAAUAGUUUGAAAUCAAGGGAGUCCUCCGUUGCUAAAGAAGAAACCUCGAGACAAAAGAUUGUUAUUAAAGAGGAAAAGGCAGCUAUUGCAUCUAGGUAUAUGCAAGGUUUUUCAACAUUAAAUUCAAAAGCUAACUCACAAUUCUAGUGGAGGUGGGAAGCACAAUGAUAAUGAGAGUGGUGGUAAGAAGCAGGUUGGCAUGAUAAAAGGCAAACAGCAAGAGCUUAAUGGUCAGUGUUACAGGCAUGCUCGAUAACUCCUUCCCACAGCAGAGCUGGUGCACUUUCAUUAAAGCCAGAAGCAGUUGUAUCGAACAAUCCCUCCUUAAAAUUUAAGUGUAUAUAUUGCAUUCCACCUAUUGUUACCCUUAAAAUUUUUGGGGUCCUGCAAGAUAUGCUUUGAAGAAACACACCGCUAACAGACAAGUGUAUUGCUUCUCCCCAUCUUCUGAGCGUAUUCCAGAUUGUAUAGCCUCCUCAUUGUCAAGAGGCUGUGAAGGAGCUAUAUGAUAAAAUGCUGAAAUCUGGAAUGCUAAAUGAUGUAAAGGGGAAUGACACUUUUAGAGGUGAAUGACUUACCUUUGCAACUUGGUACAGCAGAUAUCGUUUUCAGUUCCAACUUCAAUGGGGACACAAGAGGCAUCUUGGAAUGUGCUGAAAUCGUGUUUUGCUUGUGGAAAGAUUGUUAGUUUGAUCUCUAAUUCAGUAACUGUUUUGUUCUGAAUUUUGAGGUGGAAGAAUCAAAUUGGAAGAGCAGAAAGAUGGAAAUGCAGCAGUACUGUGCACGUGAAUGGAAGUCCAUCUUAGGUGCAACAGCAGAUUCUGAAAAUUCUAAAGGCGGCUUUGACUGCAACAUCUGCUCAGAUUUUGCACACGAGCCAGUGGUCACCCUCUGUGGCCAUCUGUACUGCUGGCCUUGCAUCUACAAAUGGCUUCACGUCCAGAGCGCCUCCCUUGCGUCUGAUGAGUGCCCUCAGUGCCCUGUUUGCAAGAAACAAGAUGUAUUUGAAGUGGAAUGUGGCAAUGUGCAGUGAAUGUUUUGAGGCAAUCCACCCCAGUGGCUUUACACUACCACUUUAGGUUCAUUUUAUUUGUAUUGGUUUUGCUAUAAGCUUCAUUUGUGAUUGCUUCCACAGCAUUUGUUUGUAUACUGCUUAACUUUUUAUACAAGUGAAGGUUCUCUUAUGAAAUUGCAACAAGCAAAGAAUUAGACAUA